ACCAUGGGUAACUACACCCAGGAAUAGAUAGAUAGAUAGUAUGCAUCUUAUAAGAAAUGUGUUGGUAUUUCACAUACUAAUUGGUGUAGAAAAUAAUGCAGAGGCUGGAUUAUCAAUAAUUUAUAUGCGAUAGGGCUUAUCAAGAUUAAGAGGGUAAAACAAUAAAAGUGAUUUGUGAUAAUUUUCACUAAUGCAGAAUUAACAAUGAUGAUGUGAGAUCUUUUGGGAUUUUUCUGAUGUACAAAGCCAAUUUCUGGCCAGGUGAAGUAGCUCACACCUGUAAUUCUAGGGCUUUGGGGGACCCAGGUAGGAGAAUCUCUUUAGGCCAAGAGCUCAAGACAAGCCUGGCAGCACAGCGAGACUCCAACACCACUACAAUUAGCUUCACCUGGAAUCCUAGCUGUUUGGGAGAUGAAGGCAGGCGGCCACUUGAGCCCAGGGGGCCCAGAAUGCAAUGAGUUAUUAUUGUACCACUGCACUUCAGCCAGGGUGACAGACCAAGACCCUGUCUUGAAAAAAAAAAAAAAGUAAAACAUGAAAAAUACAUAAAGUUCAUUAUUAAGAACACGUUAUUUUCAAGCUGACGUUGCAGUCCCAGUCAACACCUUUCUCCUUUUCUUCUUCAUCUUCACACUCCUGGAUCACAAGCCAAAGCACACAGACCUGAUCACCUGUCACUUGACUUUUGUUCACUCAAUGACGCACCCCACUGUAGUGGAUUUUUUUCUCUUUAGACAGUGUUUGAGUCACUGAAUUUUUGGGAGGACCUCAAAUGUCAAACACUAUUCUACAUGAACAAGGUGAUGAGGGGUCUGGCCGUCACCACCACCUGCCUCCUGAGCAUGCUCCAGGCCAUCACCGUCAGCCCUAGCAUCUUGUGGUAGGUGAGACUUAAACAAAAACAUAAAUUAUCUUCCAGUAGUAGCAUGAUCAUCUGCACUGUAGCUUGUUUCAGUGUGACCCAGACCAAUUCAAUUUACCGAGUGUCAGUGACUUCUGCUCACUUUCUCCAAUGAGUUCCAUUCUCAGGGGACUGUUUUUUAUUCUAAUAUUGUUUCAGAAUAUUUUCUUUGUAGGAAUCAUGCUGCUCUCCAGUAUGUACGUGGUCAUUCUCUUGUUCAGGCAUGAGAGGUGAUACCGGAGCCUUUGCAACACCAGUCGUUCCCCAAGAGCCUCCCCAGAGAAAAGGGCCAUGCAGACCAGCCUGUGUCUUCUGCAUCUCCAGCUGCAAGACACUCUGGGCCCAGUUCUCAGACAAGGCCAAGUCGGCCACACCAGGGCCUCUCUGGGGAGGCUGGAGGAAGUUUGACUGUUCAAUCUGCUACAUCUCAGCCAGUUCAUCCAUCGUGAAUGUCUGAGGGGCAUGGGAUACAAGGGCUACAUUGUGGUCCUGCAGGAAUUCAACCACCAACUCAUCUUCAGAAGCUACUCCCAAAGGCUUGGAGACUGCCUCAGAGGCUAGGGCUCCGGGCAGGGAUGGGGGCAGGGGCCAGGCCUUAGACCUUCUGCUGAGGUCGGGGCUGUUUUCUGUUUUUACUGUAUUUAACUACAUUAAUCAUGCUCAGUAUUUCGGUUCACUAAUCUCAUCAGCUGAGACUAAUUUAAUAUUUAACCCAUACGUUGUAUAUUAAGUAGGUUGUUUGUAUUUGGCUCUUUUUCAAAUAUGGCUUGUCAAGCUUGUAGUCUUUUGCUCUGUAAUACAUAUUUUUUUUCCUAUUUUUCUCAUUGUGUUGACUUAAACAUUUAAAAAAUAAGUCCUAUAACUGUGUGUAACAUAAGUUUUAACUUUCUUUUCACUUAUGGGAGAUAUUACAUUUCAGACAUCUG